AUUGAACGCUGGCGGCAGGCCUAACACAUGCAAGUCGAGCGGAUGAAGGGAGCUUGCUCCUGGAUUCAGCGGCGGACGGGUGAGUAAUGCCUAGGAAUCUGCCUGGUAGUGGGGGAUAACGUCCGGAAACGGGCGCUAAUACCGCAUACGUCCUGAGAGAGAAAGUGGGGGAUCUUCGGACCUCACGCUAUCAGAUGAGCCUAGGUCGGAUUAGCUAGUUGGUGGGGUAAAGGCCUACCAAGGCGACGAUCCGUAACUGGUCUGAGAGGAUGAUCAGUCACACUGGAACUGAGACACGGUCCAGACUCCUACGGGAGGCAGCAGUGGGGAAUAUUGGACAAUGGGCGAAAGCCUGAUCCAGCCAUGCCGCGUGUGUGAAGAAGGUCUUCGGAUUGUAAAGCACUUAAGUUGGGAGGAAGGGCAGUAAGUUAAUACCUUGCUGUUUUGACGUUACCAACAGAAUAAGCACCGGCUAACUUCGUG
rnacentral:rRNA from 1 species